CUCGCCGAGCCCGCGCUGCCUUCUCAUUGGCUGCGGCCGGUUCGCGUGUUUCCGGGCUGAAGUCCCCAGGCCACACCCCACGGAGGCGGAAACCUCGGGCCGCGGCCAUCUUGGUAGUGGCGUCGGAAAAAAGGCGCUAGCGGCCAUCUGGGUGGUGGCAGGAGCGUCGAGCGCUCACGCCGCGAGAGAAAAGUUCCCCGGGGUUUGAAGCUGGAAGGGGCGGUGCGGCCUGACAGUGGCAUCCUGCGAGGAAAGAGCGACGUCCCUCACGCGUCUUUCCUGACGGAGAGGACCGGCGCUACAGACCCAGAGCGAGAGAGGCCGAAAACCUCCGGCUGCGGGGCGGGCCAGCUCCUGCCGCACCAGGUCUGCCUUUCCCGGGGUUGCUGGCCGAGUUCUCCUGUCGGGAAAGACUGGCCCGAGGGGCUUUUGUGCCCCGGCGUGACUCUCCUGACGCCCAGGGGCCCCUGCAACCUGAAGUGUGUAAGGGAGUUACAGAAUACACCAACUGCGCUUUCUGCAUGCCAACUAUCUCCCUGGUGUGGUGGGGACAGAUGAGACAAGACCUGGAGACAGCAGGAAACAUUGAUUUGGCUGUAGGCAGGUUCAGAGGGCAGAGCUUCUGCUGUAAUCCAUCGGAAAGGACACUCGCAGAGUCUUACACAGUCCACAGAGCACACCACACACCUGAAUCUUGUGCAAGAGGUUCACUGUUGGUGAAAGAGAUGGGGACUAUCUCUAAAUCCUUGAGGUGGGACAGUCCAAGUUAACUGGGUACAGGUGUGACUGUCUGGGUCUGUCCAGGUGAAGAGGAAAAUGUUCUGGAAUUGGGGUGUGAGGGAAUGGAGAAGAAGGCAUCCAAAACCGAAAAAUGAGUGAUGUGGGGCUGGGGAUGUGGCUUAAGCGGUAGCACGCUCGCCUGGCAUGCAUGCGGCCCAGGUUCCAUCCUCAGCACCACGUACAAAGAAAGAUGUUGUAUAAUUAAAAAGUAAAUAUUAAAAUUCUCUCUCUCUCUCUC
rnacentral:lncRNA from 1 species